rnacentral:rRNA from 1 species
UUGUUGGUGGGGUAAUGGCCUACCAAGGCGACGACGGGUAGCCHGKKUGAGAGGGCGACCGGCCACACUGGGACUGAGACACGGCCCAGACUCUACGGGAGGCAGCAGUGGGGAAUAUUGCGCAAUGGGCGAAAGCCUGACGCAGCAACGCCGCGUGAGGGAUGACGGCUUCGGGUUGUAAACCUCUUUCAGCAGGGACGAAGCGAAAGUGACUGUACCUGCAGAAGAAGCGCCGGCUAACUACGUGCCAGCAGCCGCGGUAAUACGUAGGGCGCAAGCGUUGUCCGGAUUUAUUGGGCGUAAAGAGUUCGUAGGCGGUCUGUCGCGUCGGAAGUGAAAUCCCGGAGCUCAACUCCGGGCCUGCUUUCGAUACGGGCAGACUUGAGUGUUGCAGGGGAGACUGGAAUUCCUGGUGUAGCGGUGGAAUGCGCAGAUAUCAGGAAGAACACCGGUGGCGAAGGCGGGUCUCUGGGCAACAACUGACGCUGAGGAACGA